rnacentral:rRNA from 1 species
CAACGGGGGGCUCCAGUGAGGAAUAUUGCACAAUGGGGGGAACCCUGAUGCAGCAACGCCGCGUGGAGGAUGACGCAUUUCGGUGUGUAAACUCCUUUUAUAUGUCAAGAAAAUGACGGUAGCAUAUGAAUAAGCACCGGCUAACUCCGUGCCAGCAGCCGCGGUAAUACGGAGGGUGCAAGCGUUACUCGGAAUCACUGGGCGUAAAGGACGCGUAGGCGGGUUGGAAAGUCAGGUGUGAAAUCCUACAGCUUAACUGUAGAACUGCACUUGAAACUUCUAAUCUAGAGUAUGGGAGGGGGGGAUGGAAUUAGUGGUGUAGGGGUAAAAUCCGUAGAUAUCACUAGGAAUACCUAAAGCGAAGGCGAUCUCCUGGAACAUUACUGACGCUAAGGCGUGAAAGCGUGGGGAGCAAACAGGAUUAGAUACCCGCGUAGUC